ensembl:lncRNA
AUGAUGUCCUGUUCAUCUUGUUCCCACAGACACGCUCCAUGUCCCGCUGCUCAGAGGCAAAUCCUGUCAAGAUUGCAGACUGUCUCCUUUAAGAUGGGGAUAAUUUCUUUGACUAAAAUCAGACCACAACGGAUAAUUGUGGGACACAAGAAAAGCCUCAUUAGGGAAGGUUUGCGGCGGCGUCAUGGAAGCCCAGGACAGCAGGUACAAGAGGGAACGGGAGUCAGACCUGGACAGCGACACCAACUCUGAGUCAGGUUUAGACUCAGGCAGGGCCACAGAACUGACAACGGCUAGGGACAAACUUCAGGGGCUUGAGGUGCCUCACCAAUGGGAAGGCGGUGUGUUAAGCUUUCACUGUUCAUCCAAUGUUUAUUAAAGGUUUAUUUUAUGCCUGGAACUCUGUAGUGAAGAACAUGCAUGGCUCAAAGUGUUUCACAUAGAUUAACUUUGCAGACAACUCAGAAGUUUGAUUUUCCUAAUCUUAAAUACUAUCAAUGGAACAUUUUCCAGUGUUCUAUUAGUUACACAGUUUUGGAACGGCAUACUCAACAGUUUGUGCUUUACUGAUGACUUGAGGUCACCAUCUUAUUUAGGGCUGUCAGAUAAAAUACAGCACACAGUAAAAUGUGUUUAUCAGGUAAAAACAGGUAAUAUUUGGGGCAUACUUGUACUAACAAGUCAUUCCUUGUUUAUCUUAAAUUCAAAUUU